rnacentral:rRNA from 1 species
CAGUCGCCACGGUAAUACGAAGGGGGCUAGCGUUGCUCGGAAUGACUGGGCGUAAAGGGCGCGUAGGCGGAUUGUUUAGUUAGGCGUGAAAUUCCUGGGCUUAACCUGGGGACUGCGCUUAAUACAGGCAGUCUAGAGUGAGGAAGAGGGUUGUGGAAUUCCCAGUGUAGCGGUGAAAUGCGUAGAUAUCGGAAGGAACACCUGUGGCGAAAGCGGCUCACUGGACCAUAACUGACGCUGAGGCACGAAAGCUAGGGGAGCAAACAGGAUUAGAUACCCCAGUAGUCCCUGUCUCUUAUAC